ACGAGCGGCGGACGGCUGAGUAACGCGUAGGAACAUACCCCAAAGUGAGGGAUAACUGCCCGAAAGGGUAGCUAAUACCGCAUGUGGUCUUCGGAUUAAAGCUUUAUGCGCUUUGGGAAUGGCCUGCGUCUGAUUAGUUUGUUGGUGAGGUAAUGGCUCACCAAGACUACGAUCGGUAGCUGGUCUGAGAGGAUGAUCAGCCAGACUGGAACUGAGACACGGUCCAGACUCC
rnacentral:rRNA from 1 species